GCGCAGUGGCAGGGCAGGGCAGGGCAGAGGAGGGACAGAACAGCCGCACCCAGCCAUCGCCGAGUGCAGAGCAGGCCAGCUUGGGGGGAGGGCCAGGCACAGUGCGGGUAAAGAAGGUGCCGGCGUCCGGUCUGGCAAGAGGGCGGGCUGGAGUGCGGGGGGAUGGGUGCGCCUUGCUCACGCUCCCAGGGUGGGAUGACCGAAGUGCAGGCGCCCAGGUUGUAAAGUGAGGCCCCCAACCCCGCAUCUAUGCUGGCAGUGGCCCGGAAACUACCGAUCCGGUUUAUUAAUAGCCGUCGGGGAAGAGGGACCCGCAGCAGCAGCAACUCCAUCCCGAGACUCUUACCCUUUGCCAGGGAUGAAGAGCGACCCACCAUCGGAUCUGCACAUUUUUCCAAGAGAUCAGAUGUGACAGUGCGGUGAAGCAGCCAAAUUCCUGACUUUUGUCCAAGUCCCGCUACUCAGAGAUCCCAGGCCCCAGGCCGUGUGGCCUUUUGGCUGCCAAAGGGCCAGGAGAGAGUGACAGUAGCAAACCAUCUUUCUAAUUGUCUUUUGAAUGAAACUGUGACUUGAUGCGACAAGGGCUGGACAGGAGUCAGUGACUUCUGGAGACAGAGCUCAGCCUGGGGAGCCCCCUUCCCAGGGCUUAUUAGCUCUGCCAGAUCAUAGCCCUUGUUUUCUUAUCUAGAAAAACUGGAAUCAUGUUACCUGCUCAACCUAUCAGGGGCUUUGGGAGAAUCAAUGGAAAGGAAAAUAUAGAGCAAAAAAGCAUUAUAUAAAUUUCAAGUAUUAAAAUAAUCUCACCCCCCUCUUUACACACGUGGAGACUUGCAAACUCUUCCGGCCCCAGUUUCCUUAUCAAUAAAAUGGAGCUUCUCCCAUGGGCUGUGCCAGACUUGGGGUGAAUAAGAUAAUAGAUGUACAAAUUAUUAUGUAAAUACAAAGUACUUUACAAAGAUGAAAUUGUACUUUAUGUAGGAUCUUAUCAUGGUCUAAAGGUGUUUAUGUGAAGAGUCAGAAACCUUAAAAUGUGGAAAUGGUCUAUGAUGAUCCACAGACCCUUCCCCC